UAACAAUUGAUUAUGGACAAUUGAUUAUAGUGAAUUCCAUGUAAAUCUCAAUCUCACCAUAAGAUAAUAAACAUUGAUCUCACCAUAAGAUGAUAAACAUUGAUUUCACCAAUGGGCCAGAAGUGAAGAAAAAAGUUGAACAAAAAGAAAGACAAAAGAUAAUCUUACGAGGCUAUUAUUUAUUUGACGCUAUAGUUACGAGCUUCUUGCACUAGGAAACCCCGAAAGUUUUUGAGGAGGGAGUGAGCGAUAGAGAACCGCUAUUCACGCAACUCUGAGAUAAGUGAAAUGAAAGUCAUCACAUGACAAGACCUAACAUGUGAAACCUUUGCAAUAAAAUACUAAUAAUAAUAACAAGCAAUGCUUAUAAAGUUCCUGUCAACACAAACCCAUAAAGCUGGAAAUGUAACUCAGUUACUGGUAUGGGUAGAAGCCUGGAGAAGUCCAUCGCGAAUCUGAGAAGCAACAUCACGAACAGCACCAGGUCCAUGGGGAAUAAACACGGCAGAUGAUUUAGAGGCAGCACCAAUUUCCUUCAUUGUGUCAAAAUAUUGAGUGACAAGAACCAUGUCCAUUAUAUCUUUUGCAGAGGUCCCGGGUACAUUUUCAGAGAAGUCCAGCACACUG
rnacentral:misc_RNA from 1 species